GUAUUAAUUAACAAAAAAAGAGACUAUAGUUGCGGUCACGUGAUUUACUUUGGGUGUGUCACGUGACUAAUUCAUUUCAGUUCCUGUUACAAACAGAAUGCGAGUCUUGUCGAGUAGUCUUUGGCAUGUUUUCAAACGAGGACUUUCUUCUCAAGUUAUUCCUUAAUCUUGUGUAUGUGUGGCUCCUUUCGAGGGUUGAAUCAGAUUUCUAUUUCGUGUUUCAGUGUGCACGUGAUGGUCUUGUGUUGGGAAUGUAUCAGAACGAGGGUGGCUUUGAAUUGACACCGGCAGCGAAACGGUUCGACGCUUCGUUAGACGGAAGUCUACAGAAAGUGAUGGAAAGACAUGCUCCAAAUAUGAAAGUCGGCGAUUCUCGCAUAUUUCACACUUUCACUAAGUAUGACACAGUGGCUGUUGUGGGUCUUGGUCCACAAAGAAUCGACACUAAAUCACAAGAGAAUCUCAACCAGCAGGCGGAAAAUAUCAGGAAAGCAAUUGCAGUCGGAGUCAAGGCUCUACAACAAGUGAAGAUCAACUCAAUAGAAAUCGAUACGGCAUCUGAUUCUGAAGCUGCAGCUGAAGGUGCUUGUCUGGCAACGUUUGCGUUUAAGAAGCUGAAGACGGAUAAGGACAGUGCAGCACCACCACCUGCUUUGCAACCAUACGACAGUCAACAAGAAGGAUCAGAAAUGCUAAGCGGUUGGCAUGUCGGCUCUAUAAAAGCUGCCGCUCAGAAUCUCGCCAGAGAAUGGAUGGAGAUGCCAGCCAAUGUUAUGACUCCCACUCAGUUUGUGUCAACAGUCACUCAAUGCCUUCAGGAUGCGACAUCAAACGAAGUUGCUCUCGACAUCGCAGUAAGAGACGAGACAUGGAUUAGAGACCAGAAAAUGGGAGCAUUUCUCAGUGUUGCUAAGGGAUCUGUUGAAGAGCCACGACUAUUAGACAUCUCGUAUACCGGCACCAAGGGAAAUGACGCUCCACUACUGGCUCUUGUCGGAAAAGGUGUCACAUUUGACAGUGGCGGAAUCUCAAUCAAGCCGUCCGCAGGCAUGCACCUCAUGCGAGGAGACAUGGGUGGUGCAGCGGUCGUCUGUGCCACCAUUGAGGCUCUCCUCAGACUUCGUGUGCAAGCCAACAUACGUGCUGUUGUGCCUCUGUGCGAGAACAUGGUGUCGGGUUGUGCUACUAAACCCGGAGACGUGGUGACUGCCAUGAACGGGAAGAGCAUUCAGGUUGACAAUACGGACGCCGAGGGGAGACUGCUGUUGGCCGAUGCACUCUGUUAUGCUCAGACAUUUGAUCCUCGUGCUGUGGUCGCUGUGUCGACUUUGACUGGCGCCAUUGAUGUGGCACUGGGUACAGGAGCGACUGGCGCAUUCGUAAACGAUGACGACAUGUGGCAUCUUCUACAUCAAGCCAGUCACAAGACGGGAGAUCGAGUGUGGAGAAUGCCUCUCUUUUCUCAAUACAGAAAACAGAUUGAGUCACAUCUUGCAGACAUCAACAAUGUUGGUCAGAGGGGAAGAUCAGCAGGUGCUUGCACAGCAGCCGCAUUUCUCAAUUCUAAUGAUUGAACAGGAAUUCGUGGAAGUCGAGAAAUGGGCGAGUCUAGACGCAGCAGGAGUCAUGGAAAGUCACGGAGAAGUGCCCUACCUUUCCAAAGGACUGUCAGGUCGACCAACCAGGACUUUGAUCGAGUUUGUUAGACUUAUGUAUGGAGUUGAGUAGGUUUCCACAACGAGGUUAGAUCGUUGCAUUAUGAUUGGCUAAUUCGCCACAUUUCGUGAAUUGAUUGGCUAAUUUAAUGCAA